rnacentral:rRNA from 1 species
UACGUAGGUGGCAAGCGUUACUCGGAAUCACUAGGCGUAAAGCGCAGGUAGGCGGUUCGGUAAGUCUCUUGUGAAAGCUCCCGGCUCAACUGGGAGAGGUCAAGGGAAACUGCCGGGCUAGAGUGUGGCAGAGGAAGCUGGAAUUCCCGGUGUAGCGGUGAAAUGCGUAGAGAUCGGGAGGAACACCUGUGGCGAAAGCGGCGCACUGGACCACAACUGACGCUGAGGCGCGAAAGCUAGGGGAGCAAACAGG